rnacentral:rRNA from 1 species
GAUGAACGCUAGCUACAGGCUUAACACAUGCAAGUCGAGGGGAAACGAUAGAGAAAGCUUGCUUUUUCUAGGCGUCGACCGGCGCACGGGUGAGUAACGCGUAUCCAACCUGCCCACCACUUGGGGAUAACCUUGCGAAAGUAAGACUAAUACCCAAUGAUAUCUCAAGAAGACAUCUGAAUGAGAUUAAAGAUUUAUCGGUGAUGGAUGGGGAUGCGUCUGAUUAGCUUGUUGGCGGGGUAACGGCCCACCAAGGCGACGAUCAGUAGGGGUUCUGAGAGGAAGGUCCCCCACAUUGGAACUGAGACACGGUCCAAACUCCUACGGGAGGCUGCAGUGAGGAAUAUUGGUCAAUGGGCGAGAGCCUGAACCAGCCAAGUAGCGUGCAGGAUGACGGCCCUAUGGGUUGUAAUCUGCUUUUAUAAGGGAAUAAAGUGAGUCUCGUGAGGCUUUUUGCAUGUACCUUAUGAAUAAGGACCGGCUAAUUCCGUGCCAGCAGCCGCCGUAACAC